AUUGAACGCUGGCGGCAGGCCUAACACAUGCAAGUCGAACGGUAGCACAGAGGAGCCUGCUCCUUGGGUGACGAGUGGCGGACGGGUGAGUAAUGUCUGGGAAACUGCCCGAUGGAGGGGGAUAACUACUGGAAACGGUAGCUAAUACCGCAUAACGUCGCAAGACCAAAGAGGGGGACCUUCGGGCCUCUUGCCAUCGGAUGUGCCCAGAUGGGAUUAGCUAGUAGGUGGGGUAACGGCUCACCUAGGCGACGAUCCCUAGCUGGUCUGAGAGGAUGACCAGCCACACUGGAACUGAGACACGGUCCAGACUCCUACGGGAGGCAGCAGUGGGGAAUAUUGCACAAUGGGCGCAAGCCUGAUGCAGCCAUGCCGCGUGUAUGAAAAGAAGGCCUUCGGGUUGUAAAGUACUUUCAGCGAGGAGGAAGGCGUUGUGGUUAAUAACCGCAGCGAUUGACGUUACUCGCAGAAGAAGCACCGGCUAACUCCGUGCCAGCAGCCGC
rnacentral:rRNA from 1 species